GGGUUGUGAGGUUAAGCGACUAAGCGUACACGGUGGAUGCCCUGGCAGUCAGAGGCGAUGAAGGGCGUGCUAAUCUGCGAUAAGCGCCGGUAAGGUGAUAUGAACCGUUAUAACCGGCGAUACCCGAAUGGGGAAACCCAGUGUGAUUCGUCACACUAUCAUUAACUGAAUCCAUAGGUUAAUGAGGCGAACCGGGGGAACUGAAACAUCUAAGUACCCCGAGGAAAAGAAAUCAACCGAGAUUCCCCCAGUAGCGGCGAGCGAACGGGGAGGAGCCCAGAGCCUGAAUCAGCAUGUGUGUUAGUGGAAGCGUCUGGAAAGGCGCGCGAUACAGGGUGACAGCCCCGUACACAAAAGCGCAUGUGCUGUGAGCUCGAUGAGUAGGGCGGGACACGUGGUAUCCUGUCUGAAUAUGGGGGGACCAUCCUCCAAGGCUAAAUACUCCUGACUGACCGAUAGUGAACCAGUACCGUGAGGGAAAGGCGAAAAGAACCCCGGCGAGGGGAGUGAAAAAGAACCUGAAACCGUGUACGUACAAGCAGUGGGAGCNNNNNNNNNNNNNNNNNNNNNNNNNNNNNNNNNNNNNNNNNNNNNNNNNNNGGGCGUUAAGUUGCAGGGUAUAGACCCGAAACCCGGUGAUCUAGCCAUGGGCAGGUUGAAGGUUGGGUAACACUAACUGGAGGACCGAACCGACUAAUGUUGAAAAAUUAGCGGAUGACCUGUGGCUGGGGGUGAAAGGCCAAUCAAACCGGGAGAUAGCUGGUUCUCCCCGAAAGCUAUUUAGGUAGCGCCUCGUGAAUUCAUCUCCGGGGGUAGAGCACUGUUUCGGCUAGGGGGCCAUCCCGGCUUACCAACCCGAUGCAAACUGCGAAUACCGGAGAAUGUUAUCACGGGAGACACACGGCGGGUGCUAACGUCCGUCGUGAAGAGGGAAACAACCCAGACCGCCAGCUAAGGUCCCAAAGUCAUGGUUAAGUGGGAAACGAUGUGGGAAGGCCCAGACAGCCAGGAUGUUGGCUUAGAAGCAGCCAUCAUUUAAAGAAAGCGUAAUAGCUCACUGGUCGAGUCGGCCUGCGCGGAAGAUGUAACGGGGCUAAACCAUGCACCGAAGCUGCGGCAGCGACACUGUGUGUUGUUGGGUAGGGGAGCGUUCUGUAAGCCUGCGAAGGUGGCCUGUGAGGGUUGCUGGAGGUAUCAGAAGUGCGAAUGCUGACAUAAGUAACGAUAAAGCGGGUGAAAAGCCCGCUCGCCGGAAGACCAAGGGUUCCUGUCCAACGUUAAUCGGGGCAGGGUGAGUCGACCCCUAAGGCGAGGCCGAAAGGCGUAGUCGAUGGGAAACGGGUUAAUAUUCCCGUACUUGGUGUUACUGCGAAGGGGGGACGGAGAAGGCUAUGUUGGCCGGGCGACGGUUGUCCCGGUUUAAGCGUGUAGGUGUGUGUUCCAGGUAAAUCCGGUUCACUUUAACACUGAGGCGUGACGACGAGGCACUACGGUGCUGAAGCAACAAAUGCCCUGCUUCCAGGAAAAGCCUCUAAGCAUCAGGUAACAUCAAAUCGUACCCCAAACCGACACAGGUGGUCAGGUAGAGAAUACCAAGGCGCUUGAGAGAACUCGGGUGAAGGAACUAGGCAAAAUGGUGCCGUAACUUCGGGAGAAGGCACGCUGACACGUAGGUGAAGUGAUUUACUCAUGGAGCUGAAGUCAGUCGAAGAUACCAGCUGGCUGCAACUGUUUAUUAAAAACACAGCACUGUGCAAACACGAAAGUGGACGUAUACGGUGUGACGCCUGCCCGGUGCCGGAAGGUUAAUUGAUGGGGUCAGCGCAAGCGAAGCUCCUGAUCGAAGCCCCGGUAAACGGCGGCCGUAACUAUAACGGUCCUAAGGUAGCGAAAUUCCUUGUCGGGUAAGUUCCGACCUGCACGAAUGGCGUAAUGAUGGCCAGGCUGUCUCCACCCGAGACUCAGUGAAAUUGAACUCGCUGUGAAGAUGCAGUGUACCCGCGGCAAGACGGAAAGACCCCGUGAACCUUUACUAUAGCUUGACACUGAACAUUGAGCCUUGAUGUGUAGGAUAGGUGGGAGGCUUUGAAGUGUGGACGCCAGUCUGCAUGGAGCCGACCUUGAAAUACCACCCUUUAAUGUUUGAUGUUCUAACGUGGACCCGUUACCCGGGUUGCGGACAGUGUCUGGUGGGUAGUUUGACUGGGGCGGUCUCCUCCUAAAGAGUAACGGAGGAGCACGAAGGUUGGCUAAUCCUGGUCGGACAUCAGGAGGUUAGUGCAAUGGCAUAAGCCAGCUUGACUGCGAGCGUGACGGCGCGAGCAGGUGCGAAAGCAGGUCAUAGUGAUCCGGUGGUUCUGAAUGGAAGGGCCAUCGCUCAACGGAUAAAAGGUACUCCGGGGAUAACAGGCUGAUACCGCCCAAGAGUUCAUAUCGACGGCGGUGUUUGGCACCUCGAUGUCGGCUCAUCACAUCCUGGGGCUGAAGUAGGUCCCAAGGGUAUGGCUGUUCGCCAUUUAAAGUGGUACGCGAGCUGGGUUUAGAACGUCGUGAGACAGUUCGGUCCCUAUCUGCCGUGGGCGCUGGAGAACUGAGGGGGGCUGCUCCUAGUACGAGAGGACCGGAGUGGACGCAUCACUGGUGUUCGGGUUGUCAUGCCAAUGGCACUGCCCGGUAGCUAAAUGCGGAAGAGAUAAGUGCUGAAAGCAUCUAAGCACGAAACUUGCCCCGAGAUGAGUUCUCCCUGAGACUUAGAGUCUCCUGAAGGAACGUUGAAGACGACGACGUUGAUAGGCCGGGUGUGUAAGCGCAGCGAUGCGUUGAGCUAACCGGUACUAAUGAACCGUGAGGCUUAACCUUACAACGCCGAAG
rnacentral:rRNA from 1 species